UACGUAGGGGGCAAGCGUUGUCCGGAUUUAUUGGGCGUAAAGAGCGUGUAGGCGGCUUUGCAAGUCCGUUGUGAAAACUCGAGGCUCAACCUCGAGACGCCGGUGGAAACUGCAAAGCUAGAGUCCGGAAGAGGAGAGUGGAAUUCCUGGUGUAGCGGUGAAAUGCGCAGAUAUCAGGAAGAACACCAAUGGCGAAAGCAGCUCUCUGGGACGGUACUGACGCUGAGACGCGAAAGCGUGGGGAGCGAACAGG
rnacentral:rRNA from 1 species